rnacentral:rRNA from 1 species
AUGGUCGCCCUGUGCCCUCGCCUCCGCGUCCUCGGCCUGCACUCCUGCUCGGCCCUCCGUCGAAUCGCCGUGACGGCGGCGACGGGGCGCAAACUGAGGAGCGUCACCAUCGCAGGGUGCAGCUGGCUCAUUGAGGUGGACGUCGCGGCGGUUUCUAGCCUCCGGUCGUUUCGCUACAGCGGCGGUUUCCUCUCGUCGUUCUAUCUCCCCGACAACGCCGCAUUCGCCGACCUCUACAUCUGCUUCGACGCCCAGAGAAGCUGCAAUGUCCGCAUCUGCCAAAAGGUGUUCAGCGACUGGUUCGAAAGCCGUGUAUGCUCCAAACUCACCGCGCUCACCAUCUGCAGCAAUGUCCUCUUUGUUGUGUCUUCCUUGCCGAAUGGAAUCUCGCAUGCCGAAUCGGCCAAGAUGGGCGGUGACUUCUUUCGGAGCAUGACAGAACUACAAUUGCUUAUGUUAGAUAUGAAGGCCCCUGAGCUUGCGAACAUCUAUGUGUUCCUCAAGAACAGCCAUUGCUGUAAUCUGGAGAGGCUUUUCUUGCAGCUCCCUAGCAUCCCCACUGAGCCCUCAGUGGAUUCAAUUGACCAUGUGGGGGUAGAGCCGCCAGAGGAUGUUUUGGAAAACCUUAAGGUGGUAAAGAUUACAAACUUCAACUGGAACCGCAUUGAGCUGCAGCUAGUGUGUUUUUUGUUGAGGAAGGCUAGCUCUCUCCAUAAACUGCUACUGGUUACUCCCAGUUUGGUUCCAUUGGAUGUGACCGGUAUUCAGAAGGCAGAUCUCUUACUUGUUCGAGAAGCUGUGGUGAAUGGAAAAAUAAUUCUCAGCAAGUUGGACGAUGCUGCAACCCAGCCAUUUCAUUCGGAUGUCUUUGCCGAAGUUUAG